AUUUUAAUAGCUUAUACAAUCAGAGCAUAAUAUUGAAGAUAUUAAGGAAUAUUUUUUUAAAAUA
rnacentral:tRNA from 1 species